rnacentral:rRNA from 1 species
GACGAACGCUGGCGGCGUGCUUAACACAUGCAAGUCGAACGGAAAGGCCCUGCUUUUGUGGGGUGCUCGAGUGGCGAACGGGUGAGUAACACGUGAGUAACCUGCCCUUGACUUUGGGAUAACUUCAGGAAACUGGGGCUAAUACCGGAUAGGAGCUCCUGCUGCAUGGUGGGGGUUGGAAAGUUUCGGCGGUUGGGGAUGGACUCGCGGCUUAUCAGCUUGUUGGUGGGGUAGUGGCUUACCAAGGCUUUGACGGGUAGCCGGCCUGAGAGGGUGACCGGCCACAUUGGGACUGAGAUACGGCCCAGACUCUUACGGGAGGCAGCAGUGGGGAAUAUUGCACAAUGGGCGGAAGCCUGAUGCAGCAACGCCGCGUGCGGGAUGACGGCCUUCGGGUUGUAAACCGCUUUCGCCUGUGACGAAGCGUGAGUGACGGGAAUGGGUAAAGAAGCACCGGCUAACUACGU